rnacentral:tRNA from 1 species
AGUUUAUUAGCUUAAGUAAAGUUUUUAUUUUGAAAAUAAAAGAUUAGGAAUUCCUAUUAACUA